UACGUAGGGGGCCAGCGUUGUCCGGAAUCAUUGGGCGUAAAGCGCGCGUAGGCGGCCAGGUAAGUCCGCUGUGAAAGUCGGGGGCUCAACCCUCGAAUGCCGGUGGAUACUGUCGGGCUAGAGUGCGGAAGAGGCGAGUGGAAUUCCUGGUGUAGCGGUGAAAUGCGCAGAUAUCAGGAGGAACACCUAUUGCGAAGGCAGCUCGCUGGGACGUUACUGACGCUGAGACGCGAAAGCGUGGGGAGCAAACAGG
rnacentral:rRNA from 1 species